AUGUAUAUGCUGCUCAUUGUCAUAUGGCUGAUUUCGCCUUUCAUGUCAUGGGUCUUUGUGAUUCCUGCUACCAUUAUCUCUCGCUAUAUCUUUGUGAAUUUGCUUGGGGAGGAUAUGUUCAUAGAAGUUUUCGGCGGACCUGGAGGUAUUGGUCCCCUAUCCCUUGUAGAAAGUGCCUUCCGGGGAGUCUUCUUUUAAGUUUCAAGUCACGCACAUUGUUUGUUAUUCAUGCCCAUCUGUCCUAGUCAUCAUUAUCUCUGUAGUAAGCCUCUAAUAAUACCAUCACAUUAAGUCCCAGUCUUGUAAGUAAAAAAAGUAAGUAAAAAAAAGAUGAAAAAUUUUUUUUUUUUUUCAUAGGAAUAGUAGUCCCAGUCUUGCUUUCUAUAAUAUGAUGCAGAUUCAAGUGCUAAUUUUUAGAAGAGAGCAAGAAGAAAAAUUAAAGGGGAACAUAAUCAUUUAUAAAUCAAGGUACACAGAUAAAGGUGCAUGAUAUAUGACUGGUAAUGGUACCUGGUAAAACUACAUUUAAGUAUAAUGAAAUAACAUAUGAAAAAUUGACUGUUGACAGUUACAAUACAUGACUGGAAUCAUGUAAACAUUAAUCUAACAAAUGUGAAUACUAUAUGUUUAACACUGGAAUCAAGCACAGAAAAUAGCUGAACUGAAGUAUUCCCAAAAUAAACUGACCAUAUAAAUGCAAAUUAAUAACUCCAAGACCUAGAAAAAUAUUAACUCCAUGACCUAGAAAAAUAUUCACUAAUAGCUGUUUAUAAAAUGCCAAACAGCCAGUUGAAUAUUGGAAAUAAAUUCCCACCAAACCACACCAGGCUAGCAAGGUUUGCAGUGUCAAAUAUUCAUUUCAGAGUUCUAAUGCUACAGAGAUAAAGACAUGUACACACGCACACACAAACUCACACAAAAUUAUGCACCUACACACACA